GCAGAUCCUGCAGCCCGUUGUUGUCUAGCAUGAGGCUCUCCAAACUGGUCAGCUCGCAGAAGCCGAUGGGCAGAGUGCCAAGCUCGGCCCCACUCAGCCAGAGGAUCUUGAGGGCACGCAGGGCACUGAUAUCAUCAGGUCAAGUGGGAACACAUAGGCUCCCUACUGAGGAAAAUAAACUGCAAUGUAUUUUUAGCACCCGUUGAAAGUACUUUCAGCUGAAGAUAUUCUGCAGGAGCCAGUUUAUUUCACUGAAGGCCAAAGGAUUUGCCACAAUGUCACCUACAAUUCCAGAACUUUCUCUCAGGCUAUGUAAAUGUGCUCCCACCCCACCCAUUCUACCACACACCAUUCUCAGUCCAAAUCGUGGAGCAAAUAUUCUCUUUCUGAGGAAAAAAAAAGAAAGAAAGAAAA